rnacentral:rRNA from 1 species
CCGGCGCACGGGGUGAGUAACGCGUGUGCAACCUGCCCGGCACAGUGGGAUAAUCCGGAGAAAUCCGGUCUAAUACCGCAUGACGCGGGAAAGGCGCAUGCCUUUUCCGCCAAAGGAGGCGACUCCGGUGCCGGCUGGGCACGCGUGACAUUAGCUAGUUGGCGGGGCGACGGCCCACCAAGGCGACGAUGUCUAGGGGUUCUGAGAGGAAGGUCCCCCACACUGGUACUGAGACACGGACCAGACUCCUACGGGAGGCAGCAG